UGGUGUAAAGAAAGAACUGAAUUCUGCAA
rnacentral:piRNA from 1 species